ACUCAAAGGAAUAGACGGGGGCCCGCACAAGCAGCGGAGCGUGUGGUUUAAUUCGACGCAACGCGAAGAACCUUACCCAGGCUUGACAUGUAUCUGCAAGCCGGUGAAAGCCGGUCGCCUUCGAGGGUGAUACACAGGUGCUGCAUGGUUGUCGUCAGCUCGUGUCGUGAGAUGUUGGGUUAAGUCCCGCAACGAGCGCAACCCCUGCCGGUAGUUAUUCGUGUCUACCGGGACAGCCGCCUUGAUGGGCGGAGGAAGGCGGGGACGACGUCAAAUCAGCAUGGCCCUUACGCCUGGGGCGACACACACGCUACAAUGGCCAGGACAGCGCGUCGCGCACCCGCGAGGGGAAGCAAAUCGUCCAAACCUGGUCUCAGUGCAGAUCGGGGGCUGCAACUCGCCCCCGUGAAGGCGGAGUUGCUAGUAACCGCGUAUCAGCCAUGGCGCGGUGAAUACGUUCCCGGGCCUUGUACACACCGCCCGU
rnacentral:rRNA from 1 species